GCAGGGGAAACGUUCAGUCUGCCUGGGUUAUAUAUAGGUAGAUUCAUUGAUUUCGGAUCAGAAAAUUAUCAAUGUUCAUGGAUUCCCAGAACACAGCAGGGAGAAGUUUAUGUUAUGAACAUUUCUUAGCAACAAACCCUGUAAGAAGAAGGACGUCUGUUCUACAGCUUGUGGUGGAUUAUAGAACACAUGAUAUCAACCAAGUUUAAAGGAAGCAUGUAUAGCCACAUUAGAAAGAUUUAAGGAUUGUGAGAAACCAAAUAUGACAAAUCAGAAUAAAUUCCAUGGGAGUGUGAAAAAAAAGAAUAGUAGAGUGUAAUCCUCAGGACUUUCUUCAGACUUCCAUAAAGUCAGGAAAUACUGUUGAACUGACAAA